UACCAGAGCAUGAAAUGGGAGAGAUGCUUUUCAGUGAACUCUAGUUUUCUUUGAAUUGUGUGACAUUCUUGGAUGUCUACCCACUUCCCAAAUUUUAUCUUUUACACCAUAAUCCAUUCUUGUGAGUGCCCCCUAUUCCUUAUGUGGACCAAAAUCAUUUCUAGAAAAAAAAGAAAGUUACAUUUUCUCUCAGUUCUCAUUAGUUUAUUAUUGUUCCAGUGAAAAGUUCUCAUUUCGUCUUUUAGUAUAUGAAGUGAAUACUGUAUUGAUGAAUUAUCAAACGCUAUUCCUGACCAGGUGGUUGAACAUCCUGAGACAAGAAAAACAUCUUGGAAUCAUCAUGGAAGAAGCUUCUGUUUUAAAGCGUGUGUCAGUCUUUUUCAACCAAAAAUGGAAGAAGCACAAUGUGUUCCUGUACCUGCGAGGAGGGAGUGACUUCCAGGUAGAAUAUGGUGCUGCCUGAAGAAAAUGAUGUGAAAGAGACAUGAUGAUAGGAGAGCUGCAGAGAAAGUGAGUUGAACAAGCAUGAACUGAGGGUUGCCGCCUUCAGUGCUACUCCAGGGUGGUUGUGGUAUUUCAGAGUAGGGCAUCUUUAGUUAUAUGAUCAGACCGUCACUGGAAAACCAGCCAGUUGACCCUAAUGUCUAAGAGGUUGAUUUACGACUAUCAAAAUUAUACAGAAUUUCUGGAGUUCCUGUUGUGUCUCAGCAGAAACAAACCCGACUAGUAUCCAUGAAGAUGUGGGUUUAAUCCCUGGCCCCACUCAGUGGGUUAAGGAUCUGGCGUUGCUGUGAGCUGUGGUGUAGGUGGCAGACGUAGCUCAGAUCUGGCGUUGCUUCGACCCUUAGCCUGGGAACUUCCAUACGCCACAAGUGCAGCCCUUAAAACAAACAGACAAACAAACAACCCCCCACAGAAUUUCUGCUUACUACUUUGUUAUCCUAAACGUGAUUAUAAAAUUGCAUAUGCUGAUGUGUUUUAAACUGGAGAGCCAUCGGCCCUCCCCUCCGUUACUUAAAUACAACUUUCCUACAUUUCGAAGCAC
rnacentral:lncRNA from 1 species